rnacentral:rRNA from 1 species
GGGGCGGGCGCGAACUUUAACUGCACGAAAGUGUGAUAAGGGAAUCCUAAGUGCUCAUGUUAUACAUGGGCUUUUUUCAAGGGUAAAUACCUUGGAGAAUAAGUGGUGGGUAAGACUGGUGCCAGCAGCCGCGGUAACACCAGCGCCACGAGUGGGGACCACAUUUAUUUGGCCUAAAGCGUCCGUAGCUGGCUUGGUAAAUCUUUUGUGAAAUCGAGGAGCUCAACUUCUCGGCGUGCAGAAGACACUGCCAUGCUUGAGACCGGGAGGGGUAUGGAGUAUUCUGUGGGGACCGGUAAAAUGAGAUAAUCCUCGGAAGACUACCUGUGGCGAAGGCGCCAUACCAGAACGGGUCUGACAGUGAGGGACGAAGGCUAGGGGAGCGAACCGGAUUAGAUACCCGAGUAGUCCUAGCAGUAAACGCUGCGAUCUAGGUGUUGCAUAAUCUACGUGAUUGUGCAGUGUCGAAGAGAAGUCAUUAAGAUCGCCGCCUGGGAAGUAUGGUCGCAAGGCUGAAACUUAAAGGAAUUGGCGGGGGAGCACAAGCCGAAUUCCA